GCCAGGGUACAGUCGGCAAAGGAGCAAGCCUUGGGAAUCGCAGAAAAAUUGCGACUGCCAGGGCUUGAACCCACGCCUGAGCGACUGUUGUACGGGCAGUUUAAGACUUAAACCGCUCGGCCACGCAGAUCUGAAGUGCGUCGU